rnacentral:rRNA from 1 species
CAGUCGCCGCGGUAAUACGGAGGGCGCGAGCGUUACCCGGAUUUACUGGGCGUAAAGGGCGUGUAGGCGGCCUGGGGCGUCCCAUGAGAAAGGCCACGGCUCAACCGUGGAGGAGCGUGGGAUACGCUCAGGCUAGAGGGUGGGAGAGGGUGGUGGAAUUCCCGGAGUAGCGGUGAAAUGCGCAGAUACCGGGAGGAACGCCGAUGGCGAAGGCAGCCACCUGGUCCACUUCUGACGCUGAGGCGCGAAAGCGUGGGGAGCAAACUGGAUUAGAUACCCCCGUAGUCCCUGUCUCUUAUAC